rnacentral:rRNA from 1 species
CCCUUAGAUGUUCUGGGCUGCACGCGCGCUACACUGAUGCGAUCAACAAGUUUUUCCUAUGUCGAUAGACACGGGUAAUCUUUUGAACUCGCAUCGUGAUGGGGAUAGAUUAUUGUAAUUAUUAAUCUUCAACGAGGAAUUCCUAGUAGGUGCAAAUCAUCAGUUUGCAUCGAUUACGUCCCUGCCCUUUGUACACACCGCCCGUCGCUGCUACCGAUUGGUUGAUCUGGUGAAUUAUUCGGACUGCCGGCUGAAGGGGUUUCCUCAUCUGCCAGCGGAAAGUCUUGUAAACCCUAUCAACUAGAGGAAGCAGAAGUCGUAACA